GGGGAUUUAGCUCAGCGGCAUAAGUGCCUGCCUUUAAAGCAGGCGGUCGUGAGUUCGAUUCCCAGUACCGA
rfam:Cavia porcellus supercont2_12 genomic scaffold, whole genome shotgun sequence.